CUGAAUAACUUUGCUGAUCACACAGUCCUAGCACUGGUGACAUAUCUUUCAAGUGUCUGCCCUAUCAACUUUCGAUGGUAGUUUAUGUGCCUACCAUGGUGGUAACGGGUAACGGAGAAUAAGGGUUCGACUCCGGAGAGGGAGCCUGAGAAAUGGCUACCACAUCCAAGGAAGGCAGCAGGCGCGCAAAUUACCCACUCUCAGUUUGAGGAGGUAGUGACGAAAAAUAACAAGACAGCUCUCUAUGAGGUCUGUCAUUGGAAUGGGUACAAUUUAAACCCUUUAACGAGGAUCUAUUGGAGGGCAAGUCUGGUGCCAGCAGCCGCGGUAAUUCCAGCUCCAAUAGCAUAUACCAAUUCUGUUGCUGUUAAAAA
rnacentral:rRNA from 1 species